GAUGAACGCUGGCGGCGUGCCUAAUACAUGCAAGUCGAGCGAACAGAUAAGGAGCUUGCUCCUUUGACGUUAGCGGCGGACGGGUGAGUAACACGUGGAUAACCUACCUAUAAGACUGGGAUAACUUCGGGAAACCGGAGCUAAUACCGGAUAACAUAUUGAACCGCAUGGUUCAAUAGUGAAAGGCGGCUUUGCUGUCACUUAUAGAUGGAUCCGCGCCGUAUUAGCUAGUUGGUAAGGUAAUGGGCUACCAAGGCAACGAUACGUAGCCGACCUGAGAGGGUGAUCGGCCACACUGGAACUGAGACACGGUCCAGACUCCUACGGGAAGCAGCAGUAGGAAUCUUCCCGCAUGGGCGAAAGCCUGACGAGCAACGCCGCGUGAGUGAUGAAAGUCUUCCGAUCGUAAAACUCUGGUAUCAGGAAGAAACAAUGUGUAAGUGACUGUGACAUCUUGACGGUACCUGAUCAAAAAGCACCGGCUAAAUACGUGCCAGCAACGCGGGUAUACCUAAGUGGCAGCGUUAUCCGGAUUAUUGGGCGUAAAGCGCGUGUAGGCGGUUUUUUAAGUCUGAUGUGAAAGCCCACGGCUCAACCGUGGAGGGUCAUUGGAAACUGGAAAACUUGAGUGCAGAAGAGGAAAGUGGAAUUCCAUGUGUAGCGGUGAAAUGCGCAGAGAUAUGGAGGAACACCAGUGGCGAAGGCGACUUUCUGGUCUGUAACUGACGCUGAUGUGCGAAAGCGUGGGGAUCAAACAGGAUUAGAUACCCUGGUAGUCCACGCCGUAAACGAUGAGUGCUAAGUGUUAGGGGGUUUCCGCCCCUUAGUGCUGCAGCUAACGCAUUAAGCACUCCGCCUGGGGAGUACGACCGCAAGGUUGAAACUCAAAGGAAUUGACGGGGACCCGCACAAGCGGUGGAGCAUGUGGUUUAAUUCGAAGCAACGCGAAGAACCUUACCAAAUCUUGACAUCCUUUGACCGCUCUAGAGAUAGAGUUUUCCCCUUCGGGGGACAAAGUGACAGGUGGUGCAUGGUUGUCGUCAGCUCGUGUCGUGAGAUGUUGGGUUAAGUCCCGCAACGAGCGCAACCCUUAAGCUUAGUUGCCAUCAUUAAGUUGGGCACUCUAAGUUGACUGCCGGUGACAAACAGGAGGAAGGUGGGGAUGACGUCAAAUCAUCAUGCCCCUUAUGAUUUGGGCUACACACGUGCUACAAUGGACAAUACAAAGGGCAGCUAAACCGCGAGGUCAAGCAAAUCCCAUAAAGUUGUUCUCAGUUCGGAUUGUAGUCUGCAACUCGACUACAUGAAGCUGGAAUCGCUAGUAAUCGUAGAUCAGCAUGCUACGGUGAAUACGUUCCCGGGUCU
rnacentral:rRNA from 1 species